GCCCGGUUAGCAUAAAAGUAAUGCAACCGUUUUGUACUCGGUUGAAGUAAGUGCGAUACCUACACUGGGCU
rfam:Endocarpon pusillum Z07020 unplaced genomic scaffold C718735, whole genome shotgun sequence.